CCUACGGGGGGCAGCAGUGAGGAAUAUUGGUCAAUGGCCGGAAGGCUGAACCAGCCAUGCCGCGUGAAGGGCAGGGCCCUAGGGGCGUUAAACUUCUUUUGUGCGGGAGCAAGAAUGGUCACGUGUGGCCAGACGAGAGGACCGUACGAAUAAGCAGCGGCUAACUCCGGGCCAGCAGCCGCGGGAAUACGGGGGAUGCAAGCGUUAUCCGGAUUUAGUGGGUUUCAAGGGGGCGUAGGCGGUGAGGUAAGUCAGCGGGGAAAUGCCCCCGCUCAACGGGGUGAAGUGCCAUUGAUACUGCCUUGCUGGACUGCGGAUGCCGUGGGAGGACUGUGUGGUGUAGCGGUGAACUGCAUAGAUAUCACAC
rnacentral:rRNA from 1 species